AUCGCGUGACGUACGCGUGUGUGGGCGCAACUCAUAGGCUUCUACACAUGCUCUCUUCUGCUUCGACCGCCGUACGAGAAGGUUCCGUCCGAGACGUCUGGGCCGCCCUUCGAGGCUCGAACCACGUUGGUUCCUGUAGUGCCGUGCACCGGUGGAUGCUGUGUGGCGAGGAGCAGUAAAGGAGAAAUCCAAAUGGCAUCGCUCUACCAGAGGAGAACUAAAGGAAGGGGCUCUCGUUGUAAUCAAGGACAAGACCUCUUCGCCUCUUAUGUGGAUGAUAGGACGAGUUAUCCGUGUGCUACCAGGGAGUGACGGCGUCGCAAGAAUUGCGGACAUAUGCAGACGCAAGGGCGUGCUCAGACGGGCAUUCAACACUAUUUGCCCCUUGCCUCUACAGUGACUCUACCUUGAAGACCACGGCUCUUCAACGGGGGGAGCAUAUUAAAGCCGCCUUAACUGCGGCCGAUGAACCGGUACCGAGGAACCGGAACAGGGGAGGCAACGGUCAUCGACCCACACUGCAGUGCCACGUUCCGCAGUUGCGUCAAAACCUAUCAGGACGACACCCGCGCAAGCACAGCUACCUAUUUAUAAUAUUUCCGCAUACAAAAACCAGUUACUUUGUGCUGUCAAUAAAUAUUUAAUUACA